rnacentral:pre_miRNA from 1 species
AAUAGGAGAACGACAAAUCAGAUUUUUCCUCUUGAUUUUUCAAUUUUUUCCUCCUGAAAAAAUUCAAAUUCAACUAAAAAUGUUAAAAAUCAGGAGGAAAAAAUCUUAUUUGUCUUUCUUCUAUU